AACGAACGCUGGCGGCAUGCCUAACACAUGCAAGUCGAACGAGACCAUCGGGUCUGGUGGCGCAGGGGGGCGUAAGGCGGGGGAAUCUGCCCGUAGGUUCGGAAUAACUGCCGGAAAGGGGUGCUAAUACCGGAUAAUACCGCAGGACAAAAGCGUUAACGAGUUUGGAUGGGGCGGAGUUGGAUUAGCUAGUUGGUAGGGUAAAAGCCUACCAAGGCGGCGGUCCACAGCUGGGCAGAGAGGAAGAUCAGCAACACUGGGACUGAGACACGGCCCAGACUCCUACGGGAGGCAGCAGUGGGGAAUAUAGGAAAAUGGGGUGAAGCCUGAUCCAGCUAGGGCGCGAGAGUGAUGAAGGCCUUAGGGUUGUAAAGCUCUUUUAUCCGGGAUGAUAAUGACAGUACCGGGAGAAUAAGCACCGGCUAACUCCGUG
rnacentral:rRNA from 1 species